rnacentral:lncRNA from 15 species
AUGGAGGGUGGUCUCUCUCCAAUCAGGAUAUAUACAACGAGUUCGUUUUACCAUCGAAAUGACUUCGAAGCUGUUAUAUUAAGUUAUCUGCCAUUUCACCUUCCGUUCUUCUUCGGGGAGAUUUCAACAUCCACAUCGACACUGACUGCAAAUCUGCCUCUGAAUUCCUGGAACUACUACACUGCUUCAACUUCACCCAACAUGUCAACUUUCCCACCCACAGCUGUGGUCACAUCCUGGAUCUGGUCUGCUCCACUGGUCUCACCUUACAUCACCUCUCCAGCUUCACAACUCAAAACCCACCUCUGCUCAAAUGAACUGUUCGAACCAUUUCAAUCCGGUUUCCGCUCCCAACACAGCACUGAAACAGCCCUCCUGAAAGUCACCAACGACAUCCUCCUCUCCGCUGACUCUGGCCACCUCACCAUCCUUAUCCUCCUGGACCUCACCGCAGCCUUUGACACCAUCAACCACACCAUUCUCCUCUCCCGCCUUGAGUCCUCUCUCAGCAUCACUGGCACUGCACUCUCCUGGCUCAAAUCUUACCUCACAGACCGACAACAAUUCAUCCAUAUCAACAACUGCACCUCCUCCACUGCUCCCCUNNNNNNNNNNNNNNNNNNNNNNNNNNNNNNNNNNNNNNNNNNNNNNNNNNNNNNNNNNNNUGACUUCCUGUCAUCGUACCCAGUUUCAUUUUAUAUCACACGUGCCGAUGCGGAGAUAUACACUUCUUUAUUUUAAAGAGCGCCACCUUGUGGCAAUGGCCUGAAAUUGUGUAAGUUGCCAAAGGAAGACAUGGGGAACUAUGGACCCAAGCUUGGUGUCAAUUGGACAUACCAAUGUGGAGAAAUGCUCCACUUCCUGUUUUGACCAAAAUCUACAGGAAGUGUUAAUGUUACAACAGGCUUAUUUUUUGAAGUAUCAAAAUUCUUUAAAUUACUUUUUUUUUUUUUUUACCAGAAUGGUCCCCAGAUGCUACGUGAAACGUUUUGUGCGAAUCGGACAAAGUGCAUAGGAGAAACACGAAAAAGUAGUUUAUGGACAUUUUGCGCUCUAGCAGAAAAACAUUUUAGGUGACAACUGGUGUAGCUCCGUUCACUGAAUGCGUGGAUACAAGGUUUUUGAAUGUGCAACAAAUGAUGUGGGAGUUAUUAGCCCAAACGCACUUUUCUUGAUAGUAGCGUCACCUAGUGGCCGACCCAAAAGCAACGCAUAGAAUACAAAAUUUUUCGCCACGACUGACAUGUGCGCACGGUAAAGCCUCCAAAUAUCCAAUUCAUUUGUUUGUAAAAUAAUAAUAAUAAAUGGACUGUACUUGUAUAGCGCAUUUCUAGUCUUCCGACCACUCAAAGCGCUUUUACACUACGUGAGACAUUCACCCUUUCACACACAUUCACUCAGUGAUGACAAAGUCCAUCGAACAGAAACUAACAUUCAUACACAUUCACACACCGGCAUUAUGCACGGCAUCGGGAGCAAUUUGGGGUUCAGUAUCUUGCUCAAGGAUACUUCGACAUGUCGCACCAGGGGCUGGGGAUCGAACCCACAACCUUCCGAUUAAGGAACGACCGCUCUGCCUCUGAGACCACUGCCUGGUCGAGGCAGGUGACCACCCAUCUAGAGUCGAAGGGUCUGUCCUAGGUUUCUGCCUCUUAAAAGGCAGUUUUUCCACCCUUGCCAAUUGCUUGCUCAUGGUGGUACUGUUGGGUCUCUGUAAAUAAUGUUAUAAGGAGUUCGGUCUAGACCUGCUCUAUUUGAAAAGUGUCCUGAGAUAACUUCUGUUAUGAAUUGGCGCUAUACAAAUAAAAUUUAAUUGAAUUGAAUUAAGUUUGUCAGGCUCAUUAGGCUUAAAAGAGAUAUGCAGCUGGAUGUCAUUAUUAGUGUAACAGUGAUAGAUACCUUUUAAAUUUGCUAAUAAUAUGACCUAAGGAAAGCAUCAAAGCAAAAAUUAUAGGACCCUAUAACGCAGAACUUUAAUGCACACCAUACUAAAGAACAGUAGUUUCAAACACGUAGGGAUCAAGCAACACAGAAAAACUCCUAUCUGAGAGACAGGAGGAGAGCCAGUCCAGGGCUUUCCAAGAAACAGCUACCCACUGAUUAAGCCUUUCAGUCAGGAUGCUGACAGUAUCAAAAGCUGCGCAAGCAUCCAGCAGCAGCAAAACAGAGCAUUCACCCACAUCAGAAGACAUCGUUAUGUCAUUGGAGACUCUGAGAAAAGCUGUUUCAGUGGAUUGCCUCUUAUGUAAACCAGAAUGGAAUUUAUCUAAAUAUGUAUAUUUAAAAUAAGCUGUGACUUUGACAGUACACUAUAUAUCGUGGACAGAGCUUCCGGAUCUGUGAAGUGAAGCCAACAAGGAAGUGACUUAAACAUGCAUUCUAUGUAAUGGUCACCAGGGGGCAGCUCCAUUGGCCCAUAAAAGUCCAUAGCAUGUAGUCUCUGGAGAAAUGACCCCACUUCUCACUUGAUUUAUUAUCUCAUUAGCUGAUUUGUCAGUCCAUAGUAUGUUCAGCUGAUAAACAAUAGUUCUAAUGAUGUUCUCUGAUGUUUCAUGCCUGUUUUAUGCCUGUUAAUUCAGGCCUGUGAUAGGCCUGGUAUUAUUGUGCAAGGAACCUGUUCCUGUUCAAAGCCGCACAGAUACGUUUUAUGUAUCUUUCACGAGUGACUGGGGAUUUGUCAUAUUCUUACUGAGCAUAUGGAUUUUGUCUCUCUCUUUCCUUUCAGUUGUCAGUCUAGUGAAACCAUUGUACAGUGUUUUGUUAUCUGUCUACAAUAAAUAUUUUUCAGUCAACUUUUCAUACAAAUAACAUCUAUUUCCAAGUUGACUUUUUACAUCCUAAAAGAAAGACCAUUCAUUUCUGAUGAAAUCUCCAGUAGAACUUCAUCAGUUUUUCAUCAGUAUUUAGUUGAAUAAAGUUUAUUUUUAUUUUUAGAUGGAGUAAAUGUAAUGUAAAGGCCUCUUUACUUUGACAAGAAAAAUAGCCUGAAACUUUGAUAUAAAUGGUUUUGACUUGCCUGGCACUUAUUUCACUUCAACCUGCAUCACCUUUUCUACAUGAAUGGGCAUCCACUGUUAUUGCUCACCAUAUAUAUUUUAUGUGUCCAUGCCUCAGUGACACAUUGUUGGGUCAAGAUAGGAGAUUAAUCUUGAAAUAUGACUAGUGUUAUUUGAAACGGUAAUUUAGUCAUUUCGUUCUGUUGCCACCAAAUAAGGUGAAGUAUAGACUAUACUUCUGAUGUACACCUUUUUAUGUGCCAUUUAUAAC